UACGUAGGGUGCGAGCGUUGUCCGGAAUUAUUGGGCGUAAAGAGCUCGUAGGCGGUGUGUCACGUCGGCCGUGAAAACCUGCAGCUUAACUGUGGGCGUGCGGUCGGUACGGGCAUCACUGGAGUUCGGCAGGGGAGACUGGAAUUCCUGGUGUAGCGGUGAAAUGCGCAGAUAUCAGGAGGAACACCGGUGGCGAAGGCGGCGACCUGGGUCGAUACUGACGCUGAGGAGCGAAAGCGUGGGGAGCGAACAGG
rnacentral:rRNA from 1 species